CCUACGGGAGGCAGCAGUGGGGAAUAUUGGGCAAUGGAGGAAACUCUGACCCAGCGACGCCGCGUGCGGGAUGAAGGCCUUCGGGUUGUAAACCGCUUUCAGCAGGGAAGAAGCGAAAGUGACGGUACCUGCAGAAGAAGCACCGGCUAACUAUGUGCCAGCAGCCGCGGUAAUACAUAGGGUGCAAGCGUUGUCCGGAAUUAUUGGGCGUAAAGAGCUCGUAGGUGGUUCGUCACGUCGGAUGUGAAAAUCUGGGGCUUAACCCCAGACCUGCAUUCGAUACGGGCGAGCUUGAGUAUGGUAGGGGAGUCUGGAAUUCCUGGUGUAGCGGUGGAAUGCGCAGAUAUCAGGAGGAACACCAAUGGCGAAGGCAGGACUCUGGGCCAUUACUGACACUGAGGAGCGAAAGCGUGGGGAGCGAACAGGGAUUAGAUACCCUGGUAGUCCACGCCGUAAACGGUGGGCACUAGUUGUGGGGACCUUCCACGGUCUCUGCGACGCNGCUACGCAUAAGUGCCCGCCGUCGGGAGGUACGAGUCGCGAAGAAUUAAAACGUUAAAAGUAAGUAAGUACGACGCGAGAGACGCGACGACGACGACCGACGGAGGGAGGAG
rnacentral:rRNA from 1 species